UGUGCUACCAUGAUCCCACACACAUCAGGUCAAAGUGCAGCUAAUAAGAAGGAGAUGAUGGGUUACAACCCCAAAAGAGACUAUCAACUAAGAAAUAAAAAAUCUUAAGAAAGUGGACUUGGCUGUAAUCAAUUUACAAGUUAAAAAAAUGAAUAUAGACCUAAGACAUGUACACAUCGCCCGUCACUCUACCCUAAAGGCUAGACAAGUCG
rnacentral:rRNA from 1 species